AGUUUUGUCUUUUGUCAGUGUCUUCAGUUCUGUCAAAAGAGUUUUAUUUUCCCGCUGGCAUUUACUGUUUGUUGCUCGGCAACCAAAAACCACCUUAACUGCAGUCGUAACGUAACAACACAGACCGCCCACUGACUUUACUCUGCCGCGUUUGGUGUGAACAGUACUGCAGCGCGGCGCGUCCUGUGUGAACGCCCCUUAAGGCCUAAACUGUUGAAAGAAAUGUCUCAGCACCCCUCUGCUGGCUGUUUUGGAUUUUUUUUGUUAAAUGCCCAGACGGCCAAAAAAAAAAAAGGUUGAAUGCAAACUGUGCAAGCGACUCGUAUCAUGUAGGCAUAACCAAUCUCUGGGAUCACUUGACAAGCCCCUUGUUGAAACAGCUACUUCUAGUACAUUGGGGCAGCAAUCCUCAACCCCUCCUUUUGCCACCUUUCCUAUGACAGGAACCACCCCAAGACCACCUCGAAGUGGCUGUCCUCGGGAAAAGCCAAAAGAAGUAUCAGAACUUGUAACCACCCCUGUGCCAGUGACUAUCAGUGUUGAGAAGUUAAAUCCAUGUAUGUUGGAAUUAUGCAAGUUCUUCCAGCAAUGUCUUUGUCGUGUAUACACAAAGAAAUUGGAAACCAGAAGGUACUGUACUGAUUAUCAUUCUUGGUAUUUGAAGUAUACAAAAGAUGUUUGCAAGAGGGUCAAACAAAUCCCUUUUUCUCAAACUUUAAGACAAAAGUGCCUUGCAAGGAUGUGCAAAUUCACAUAACUUUCAAAUACAUCCACAACUGGAAAAGGAGUUAACAUUGACCAACACACUUGGAAAACUCCCAUGGAAGACAGCACUGUUUGUCCUGCUUUUGCAUGUGUUUAAUCCUCAAAGGCGUUAUUGAAUUACGUUAUAGAGAUUUAAACAGAAGUAUAGGCAUUUUAAAAGUAUAUUAUACAACAUAGAUAUCUGAUUUUGUUUCUGUAGAAAAAACACCAGGGCCAUUUAGUAUCAAAUUACUACUUAGGUUAAUUAUUUUGUAACUCUUGCUUGGAGUGCUGUGUUGUUUUUUGGUUUGUUUUUUUGUCAAAAACUGUCAAAUUAUUGGCUGUAAGAACCACACAUAUUUUAUAUUUAAAAGUAAUAAUUGCUUUAGCAAGCUGUGACACAAAAUUCAAUCAGCAAUAUUUAAUGUUUUUAUUCUAGUUUUUUCAUAACCAAUAAUUUAUAACAAGCAAGGUGAGCACUACAUGAUUUACUAAAUUAAUUAAUUCGCUUUUUGUAUAGCAUGAGAUCGACAUAUUUUACAUAUUUUUGAAUAGUUCAUGAAAGGACCCCGUAUUGAUUUAG